GCGCCAGUAGCUCAGGUGGAUAGAGCAACGGCCUUCUAAGCCGUCGGUCGAUGGUUCAAAUCCUUCCUGGCGCA
rnacentral:tRNA from 1 species